CGUUAAGAGCUCCACCUACUAGCGCCAGGGUAUUACGAGCGCAAGCUUAAAAUCCAAAGGACUUGACGGUGUCCCACCCACCUAGAGGAGCCUGUUCUAUAAUCGAUAAUCCCGUUAUACCUCACCAUUUAUUGCUUUUUCAGCCUGUAUACCUCUCGUUGGGCCGUAUGAAUGCCAAACAGUAGGUUCAAUGACUACCCAUCGCCAAUACGUCAGGUCAAGGUGCAGCUAAUGAAAUGGAAAGCAAUGGGCUACAAUCUCUAAUCUAGAACACACGGAAUGCUUCUUGAAACAUAGGCAUGAAGGCGGAUUUAGUAGUAAAAGGAAAUCACAGUAUUCCUUUUAACAAGGCCCUGGGACGUGUACAAACCGCCCGUCACCCUCUUCAAUAGCAAGCUAACCAGCUAAAUAACACCACUCUGCACCUUAGAAGAGGCAAGUCGUAACACGGUAAGUGUACUGGAAAGUGCACUUGGAUUAA
rnacentral:rRNA from 1 species